UGUGAAACGCACUCAGGAUUUUGGGCAUUAGGUUAGUCAGUGUGCCAUUUGAUUGUUUUAUGGUAAAUAGGAAUAUCAUUUGUCUAUUUUGUUUCAGGGACUAAGCUAAUAGCCUACCUCAUUUGCCUCCUUGCCUAUAGUAGGUUUGUUUCAUGAGGAGUAUAUUAUGUUUGGCGUGCAGUUGGAGCAUCACCGUUAAUUCCGUUCGCUUUGCCAUCAGUGCUGUAUAGUUUACUAGAGUAUUCUCCCUAACAUGUUUCUCUUCUAGGAUUUUAAUUUCCUGGGCCAAUUUCCUC